AGUGUAGCGGUUAGCACACGGGAUUCUGAUUAUUGAAUUUUCCCGUGACCCCGGUUCGAAUCCGGG
rnacentral:tRNA from 1 species